rnacentral:rRNA from 1 species
UACGAAGGGGGCUAGCGUUGCUCGGAAUCACUGGGCGUAAAGGGUGCGUAGGCGGGUCUUUAAGUCAGGGGUGAAAUCCUGGAGCUCAACUCCAGAACUGCCUUUGAUACUGGCGACCUUGAGUUCGGGAGAGGUGAGUGGAACUGCGAGUGUAGAGGUGAAAUUCGUAGAUAUUCGCAAGAACACCAGUGGCGAAGGCGGCUCACUGGCCCGAUACUGACGCUGAGGUGCGAAAGCUAGGGGAGCAAACGGG